UUUUUGUCAUCUUUUUUAGAUUACCAUUUAUCCAUGGGUGUUCAUUUUUCUUCUUGAAUUUUUUGUGUGGUAUAUGAUCUUUUAUUCCUUUGAGCAGAGCAUUCUUUAUUCUUACCCACAAUUCAUUUGCAUUUAUGAUUUUAGAUCUAUAUAUUUGACUCAGUUGUCUAUGUAGUGCUGUAAGGUCAUCUUUGAAACCUUCCCAGUUUACUUUCUUAUAUU
rnacentral:lncRNA from 1 species